GGUAGACUUAGAACCCCGUCACGGUCGUGUUAAUAGCAGUGCUUCCGGCCGAGCGCUGUGGUUAGUGAAUC
rnacentral:ncRNA from 1 species